rnacentral:misc_RNA from 1 species
GCAACAGUGGCACAUGUUGUUGAGCGGUGGUGGGUUUGAGGGGAAGGGUAGCUAGUAGUAGAAAUGACAAGAAGUGCAAUAUAAGAAAUGCUAGGCAGAGAGAGGACAUGUAUAAGACCUUCCUUGAACUUAUGCUGCUAUGAGCAAUUCCACCCACAAGCUUUGGUUUUUCACAAAAAACAACAAUAAUACUACCGUCUUCUAAAAUAGUAAAUGGACUUCUAGUUCUAUCUUAAUUCUAACUGCCAAUCUUAGCAGGGAUCUAUAUCAAAGCCUAUAUAAAGGCCAUCAUGUGUGCAUGUUAAUCUCGUAAUCACUCUCAUUCAUUUAUAGUCCAGUUUCUAAUACUGACUUAAUCAUUGAAGUGAUAUAUAUACUAAAUAUUCUUCAAUAAGAAUUAUAUUUGGCUGGAAAAUCCAAUAUCGUAAAUGAUAUGCGAUUUUUGCAAAGUAAGGGAACUUGAGGAGAUGAUUUUUACAAAUGAACUAGCUUGAAGAGCCAAAA